UACGAAGGGGGCUAGCGUUGUUCGGGAUCACUGGGCGUAAAGCGCACGCAGGCGGAUCGAUAAGUCGGGGGUGAAAGCCCGGGGCUCAACCUCGGAAUUGCCUUCGAUACUGUCGGUCUCGAGUCCGGGAGAGGUGAGUGGAAUUCCUAGUGUAGAGGUGAAAUUCGUAGAUAUUAGGAAGAAAACCAGUGGCGAAGGCGGCUCACUGGCCCGGUACUGACGCUCAGGUGCGAAAGCGUGGGGAGCAAAUAGG
rnacentral:rRNA from 1 species